rnacentral:rRNA from 1 species
CCUUCGGGGGAUAUAAGAGACAGACAGUGGCGAACGGGUGAGUAACGCGUGGGCAACCUACCUAUCGGAGCGGGAUAGCCUCGGGAAAUCGGGAGUAAAACCGCAUAACACGGAUAUAUCGCAUGAUGAAUCCGUCAAAACUCCGGUGCCGAUAGAUGGGCCCGCGUCUGAUUAGCUAGUUGGUAAGGUAAGGGCUUACCAAGGCAACGAUCAGUAGCCGGUCUGAGAGGGCGAACGGCCACACUGGAACUGAGACACGGUCCAGACUCCUACGGGAGGCAGCAGUGGGGAAUAUUGCGCAAUGGGGGCAACCCUGACGCAGCAAUACCGCGUGAGUGAAGAAGGUUUUCGGAUCGUAAAGCUCUGUUAUUGGGGAAGAAGCAGUGACGGUACCCAAUGAGGAAGUCCCGGCUAACUACGUGCCAGCAGCCGCGGUAAUACGUAGGGGACGAGCGUUGUCCGGAAUCACUGGGCGUAAAGGGCGCGUAGGCGGUUUUAUAAGUCAGAUGUGAAAGGUACCGGCUCAACCGGUGACGUGCAUUUGAAACUGUAAGACUUGAGUACUGAAGAGGCAAGCGGAAUUCCUAGUGUAGCGGUGAAAUGCGUAGAUAUUAGGAAGAACACCGGUGGCGAAGGCGGCUUGCUGGGCAGAUUCUGACCCUGAGGUGCGAAAGCGUGGGGAG